AUUUUAUUCAUCAGCGAGAGGGGACCUGAAAGCAGGUCGCCAUCUGUGAGGAUUAAAGUUAGGACCAAAUGCUGCUCAGAAAUUGUUUUAAUCUCAAAAGUAGUUGGCAAGUUUUCAGAGUUCAUUUUCAAGGCCUGGUGUAUGCAUUGGUUACAUGAAAACCGUGUGACAACCUUGGAAGUCUGAAAGAGCAGGAGAGAGGCUAAGCACACACAUAUUGUGAUUUUAAGAGUCUCAAGGGCUGACACAAGCUGAG
rnacentral:lncRNA from 1 species